rnacentral:lncRNA from 1 species
GUGCGACGAGUGGGCGAAACAAACCUGUUAGACUCCGUCAUCACUAGGAAAACACUGCGUGAUUAGCAGUUAGGGUUCAUGUCACUGUAGGCUAUUCAAAAAGGGGGCGAAAGGUGCGACGACAUCAGGAUCUUGUGGUUCUGUUGAUAAUAAAGGCUCUCUCUCUCUUUCUCUCUCGGCUGUUGCGCUCUUUCCCUCGCUCUGUAAAUGCUUUCGUCUGUUCAAAUUCCAUAGUCGCCUAGCCGGCUGCACUUUCAUACGCUAUAAACGUUGUCUGGAUCUGAAAAUGCAAUUUUGAUGGGAAGAACGUUCUAAUGUCCUUCUGGGGAAUACAAGGGCGACUCGACACUGUUUCAAGAUAGACAAAGGUGUCCUCACACGCGUAUCACAAUGGAUCUCUCAUUUAUGGCUGCGCAGUCGGUCAUGGCGGGGGCCUUCAUGGACUCGCCCAAUGAUGACGACAGCACGGACCACUCACUUUUCAACUCCUCGGCCAGCGUCCAUGCCGCCUCUAUGGCGGCCCAUGACCAGCCGGAGCGGGAGCCCAUGUCCCGCGACGCCAUCUGGCUUUGGAUUGCAAUCACCGCCACCAUAGGGAACAUUGUGGUCGUGGGAGUGGUGUACGCUUUCACUUUCUGAGUGGUGGAAGCCAUGAUGGAGACAUGCCAGCAGGAGGAAGCUUCUGGACAAGACAUUUGGACAUGAGCUAGGAACACCACAGCAGCCAACGGCCACUCUCAAAGUCUACACUGUUACAGAGCAGUGAAUGAUUCUUGCAUUGGCAUCUUGUCCAAGCAUUUGAAAGACAAGGCAUUGUUCACAAUUACAGAAAUUAAUAUGUGUAAUAUGUUGGUCAUGUUACUGCAGCCAAAGGUCAAAAUAUGGAAUAUUGUAUACAUUAGUGCUGUUGACUAUACAUUAAGAUGUUAACAUUUCUGAUGAAGCUUUAAAUAGUGAACAGUGAUGUACUCUGAAUACCCUCAGAUGUGAUUGGUAAAUUCUGAAAUCAUUGGACGUAAAAUAUUCAGAUAAUAAAACCUUAGUAAUGUGCCGUUUGGAGCGUUUAGAGAUCAUUGAAUGGAAAGUAACACCGGUAAGUUUUUAACAUGUCUUUAACAUCACAGUCGUUACUGUAUUCUACAUAUAUCUGCCCAAAAUAUGGAGUUUAUGACAAACAUACUAGACACAGAAUGUCCAAAGAUCUUUACUGUCUGCAUGACAAUAUAGUUCCACCUGACAGCAUCAGUUUUGGAUCAAGUUAAUCUAGUUCUCCGCUUUUCUCCUCUUUUUUGCCUAAGUGAGCCUUGAGUGCUGAAUAGACAAUAUUUUCCCAGCAUAUUUAUAUCUAAGAUGGUAGGGGUAACCUAAAUCUAUUUCUCUUAAACACUCCUAUCAGACCUCAAACCCAUAUGAGCGGGAACUACAAUUUAUAGGAAUGGAUGUUCACCUUGAACACUUUUCACAGAUGUUUACAUGUGGAAACAACAUUCCUCACACUUAGAAGUCACUUGGAUUCAAGUCUAGUGUACAUACAUCUUGAUGUGACUGCUGUAACCAUUUCAAUGUCGGUCUUGAUGUAUAUUUUGAUCGAGUAUUAUCUUUCUUCCUCUUUAUAGUCUCAAACACAUUGUAACCCAAACUGCCUUCCAAGCCAAAUAGUUUUAAUGAGCCCUGGAUGCGACAAUAGUCAGUUGCCAUAGCGAUGCAUCUCUGUCGCUAUGUGCCUCAAAGAUACCAUGUCUCUCGUUCCCAGUGCAGCACACCUGUUUAUCUCUCUCUAAACUCCCUAGCACAUCUACCUAACAGACACACACACACACACACACACACACACACACACACACACACACACACACACACACACACACACACACACACACAGGCUCUUUACAUGUGGACAUCGAUCACAUCAUACAUUAGCUGAUACUCUAUAACAUUAAGAGUCAACUUAGAUACCAUAAGUUGAAUGAUACUCUACACAUAUGAGCUUUAGAGCUCAAAUUGUUUUCUACUGCUGGUUGCCCUUAGAUACCAUAAGCAUUUCAUAUAGUAGAGCAGGACUCUCCAACCCUGUUCCUGGAGAGCUACCCUCCUGUAGGUGUUCUCUCCAACCCUGUUCCGGGAGAGCUACGCUUCUGAAGGUGUUCUCUCCAACCCUGUUCCUGGAGAGCUACCCUCCUCUAGGUGUUCUCUCCAACCCUGUUCCUGGAGAGCUACCCUCCUCUAGGUGUUCUCUCCAACCUUGUUCCUGGAGAGCUACCCUCCUCUAGGUGUUCUCUCCAACCUUGUUCCUGGAGAGCUAUCCUCCUCUAGGUUUUCAUUCCAACCCUAAUACAGCACACCUGAUUCAAAUAAUUAGCUGGUUGAUGAGCAGAAUCCGGUCAGUUACAACUGGGGUUGCAGCAAAACUACUGGAGGGUAGCUCUCCAGGAACAGGGUUGGAGAGAACACCUACAGGAGAGUUGCUCUCCAGGAACAGGGUUGGAGAGAACACCUACAGGAGAGUAGUUCUCCAGGAACAGGAUUGGAGAGAACACCUACAGGAGAGUAGCUCUCCAGGAACAGGGUUGGAGAGAACACCUACAGGAGAGUAGCUCUCCAGGAACAGGAUUGGAGAGAACACCUACAGGAGAGUAGCUCUCCAGGAACAGGAUUGGAGAGAACACCUACAGGAGAGUAGCUCUCCAGGAACAGGAUUGGAGAGAACACCUACAGGAGAGUAGCUCUCCAGGAACAGGAUUGGAGAGAACACCUACAGGAGAGUAGCUCUCCAGGAACAGGAUUGGAGAGAACACCUACAGGAGAGUAGCUCUCCAGGAACAGGAUUGGAAAGCCCUGCUCUUCACAUAUUGUGUUUACCCCGGAGAGCCAGAAUAGUUGUCUACUGCUUUUACUGUGUGCCCUUGGUGCACAUUGGUGUCAGCGGUGGGAUUCAGAGAAAGUUACCAGACAGAGGGCAUCCACACCUCCAAACCCCAAAGUCACUCUCUAAAUUGCAGCAGGCAGACACUAAGCUCCCCUUUAAGUGUAGUGUUGAGACUGGGAGGCUACAUCUCUGAUGUGUCUCUGCCUCAUCGUAGAGCAGACCCCAGGAGGUCAAACACAACAUUAAUACAGUCACAGUUUGUGAAUAGUCAAAGUCUGCUUUUCAAAUGGCACCCUAUUCCCCAAAUAACACACUGUGGGCCCUGGUCAAAAGUAGUGCACUAUGUAGGGAAUAGGGCACCAUUUGGGAUGCUGACAUUUGUUUGACUGUGACGGCAGGGACGGUCACCGCGUGAUGUAGUCCUGGGAUAGGGGAUACAAUGUCCUUUUGAUUAUAAUGGAUGAGACCUUCAUAUGGUUUGGUGUGAUAAGUUGGUCCGUUAUUAACCUUGAUUAAUCAAUCAUUAACGGAGAGAUGGAUGACUUGUUGAAGCGGUCUUAAUGAUAUGCUGAUUAAGAAAUCUCUCUUUUUCUGGAGAAGUAUGAUUUUUUUUAAUGAGAUUGAGCUCAAUUAAAAAAUAUAUAAUUUAAUUUGGGCGUAGAUGGAUUUGAUGUGAAAUCAGAUAUUAACCCCAUUCUAGAUUAUCCAUAUAAAAUUGUCCAAACAGCAAACUAUUUCAAGACAAUAACUCAGAAGACGUAUACAUGGAUGUUUGAGUACGCUCUGCAUACUCUGAGCAGUUGAUUAUGACUUUGUUCCAGUUCGUUAACUAAGUAUUCAAGGUCUUACUGAAAAUACCAUUUGUAAAGAUAGAUGGUGUGAUAAUCCACACUGUUCUUCACUUGCAGUGUAACUAUGGUCUUUUGUAUCAGUUAUUAUGUAUGUACUAUUAAAAUGUAGUUUGGUAAAUGUCAUCAAUAAAUGUCAUGUGGCUGGGUGUGAUCAUUCACAGAAACACAGAAUCAUCCUUGAGGAUACAUUUUAUUUGAUCUAAUGUUAUUUCAUUAAAGUUGUCUAAAAAUAAUUCAAGUAUAUGUCACAGGAGUCAUUAAGCAUGUUCUCAUGUUCUUCUGUCAUUCUCAAUAUCAUCCUCACAUGCAAUAAUUAUUAUGUUCAGAGAUAAUAAUCUGAAUGGCAUUAACCAGUGUGAGAUGAUUGAUGAGUGUUUCAAUAUCCAAGCAGUUUCUCAACCUCAAUCGAUCACAGAAAUGCUGCAUUAUGUUUCAUAUGAAGCUCUACUGGUUGGUAUUGAAACGCUGAUGUUUCAGAUUACUUUUAUCAUGCCAGUGGCCUACAGAAUGC